GGAAGUAAAUCGUAACAGGGUCUCCGUAGGUGAACCUGCGGAGGGAUCAUUACAGAGUUCAUGCCCUACCGGGUAGAUCUCCCACCCUAUGUUAUUAUUACUUUGUUGCUUUGGCGGGCCGAUAGGCUCCGGCCCGACUACCGGCCCCGGCUGGUAAGCGCCCGCCAGAGGACCCAAAACCCUGAAUAUUAGUGUCGUCUGAGUACUAUAUAAUAGUUAAAACUUUCAACAACGGAUCUCUUGGUUCUG
rnacentral:misc_RNA from 1 species